rnacentral:lncRNA from 1 species
AAGCACAGUGAGGAUUCUCUGGAAUGCUCUGCAUAGAUAACUCAAAUCCUAAUGAUUGUUAUGUGCCUAAAGGUCAGAGUAAAAGCUUAACCUUUUACCAGCUAAGGGGCUUUUAAAAUAGUAAAAGAACUUAUAAAAUAGUAAACAAAACCUAUAUCCUCCACCCAUAGCCCCUCCUCACUUGACGUCAUCCUAAAGAGCACAGUAAAAGCAGUUGUGGUUUCUUGAGGGGGCGCUCUUGGUCCCUGAGACCUUGAGGCCCCCGGUUCCCACCUUUACUUAAGAUAAAUGUCUCUGUGUCUUGUCUUACAUUAACUUUUUUCCUUAAGUUUCAUAGCACCCGUUCUUCAGCCCCAUCCUGCUGAGCUGGUCUCAGCAGAAAUCCAAGUGGGGGCCUAUUGUGCAAGAGGUUAAAUAUAGAAAGUUUCACAAUUCAUUUUAUGGAAGUCACAUCAUCCUGAAAUCAAAUCAGAAUGACAAUACUAUAGAAACAAACAAAAUUAUACACAAUUCACUUUGAGAAAGCACACAAAUAUCCCAAAACAUUAAAAAUCAGCAAAUCUAAACAAAAGGUGUGUUAUGAUAGUAUAUGAAUAACCAAGAGAUUCUAAUUAAUGCAAUUCAUUUUUCAAAGCAUUACUGGCAGGUCACAGAUUAGAGAAAAAAAAGAGAUCUCGUAUGUGCUUAUUAUAAGGUUAUUUUAAAUCCGUAAUUUUUCCCGAGAUGCAGAAACUUAGAGGUUGGGCAUCAUCCAGAGAAGCAGGUUAGGCGGGCUCAUAUAUCAGAAGAACUGCACUGGAGGCAGAUGGUGGGUGUGUCCCAGAUGCUAGGGACACUGGAUUUGGAAACUCAGAACUUGUUGCACCUGACCUUUUAGAUUGGGAAGUUAGGUCACCACUCAAGAAAAAUCAAGAAAGCAACAAACACUAAUUUUGUGAAUCCUUAAAGGUAAUGUUUACAGACAUUGUAAACUGGCUUCUUGAAGUAAAUUCAAUGUCAAAAAUGCAACAUGUUGGAGUUCCCCUUGUGGUUCAGCGAGUUAAGAACCCCACAUAGAGUCUGUGAGGAUGCAAAUUCGGUCCCUCGCUUAGUGGGUUAAGGAUCCGGCAGUUGCCUCAAGCUGCUGUGUAGUUCACAGAUGCGACUGGGAUCCUGUGGUGCUGUGGCCGGGCACAGGCCACCAGUUGCUGCUCCAAUUUGACCCCUGGCCUGGGAACUUCCAUGUGCUGCAGGUAUAGCCGUUUGAAAAAAAAAAAAAAAGCAGCAUUUUCAUUCAAAGCUAGAAAGCAGUAGAAAGCAGAGUUAGUAUCCACGGAUCUUUUUAUUUUUUAACUUUAAAAAAUUUUAUUAGGACAUAGUUUAUUUACAGUGUUGUAUUAGCCUCAUACACUUUGUUUGCAGCAAAGUGGAUCAGUUUGGUGGAUGUGUGUGUGUGUGUGUGUGUGUGUGUGUGUGUGUGUGUGUAUCUUCACUCUCCCCCCCUCCAUAAGUUAUGACAGAACAUUGAGUAAACCUCCCUGCACUACGCAGUAUUUCCCUGUUGUUACCUUUUUUUUUUUUUUUUUUUUUUUUGUCUUUUUAGGGCUGCACCUGCAGCAUAUGGAGGUUCCCAGGCUAGGGGUUGAAACCGAGCUGUAGCUGCCAGCCUAUACCACAGCCACAGCAAUGCAAGAUACGAGCCACAUCUGCGACUUACACCACAGCUCAUGGCAACGCCGGAUUCUUAACCCACUGAGCGAGGCCGGGGAUUGAACCCGCAACCUCAUGGCUCCUAGUCAGAUUCGUUUCCCUGCACCAGGACGGCCACUCCUAUUUCAUAUGGAGUAGUGUGAGUAUGUUAAAUGCCAUUUAUCCUUCUCUCACCGUGGUUUCCCCCUUGGUAAUCCUAAAUUUAAUUUUUAUCUUUGAGUAUGUUUCUGUUUUAUAAAUAAUUUCUUUUGUAUCAGGAAGUUCCUGUCGCGGCACAGUGGAAACAAGUCCGACUAGGAACCAUGAAGUUGCGGGUUCGAUCCCAGGCCUCACUCAGUUGGAUAAAGGAUCUGGCGUUGCCGUGAGCUGUGGUGUAGGUCGCAGACAUGGCUCAGAUCUGGUAUUGCUGUGGCUCUGGCAUAGGCUGGGGGCAACAGCUCCGAUUAGACCCCUAGCCUGGGAACUUCCAUAUGCCUCAGGUGUGGCCCUAAAAAGACAAAAAAAAAGUUCUUUUAUAUCAUUUUUAUUAGAUUCCACAUAUACGUGAUAUCAUAUGAUAUUGUCUGUCUGGCUUAC